UACGUAGGGUGCGAGCGUUGUCCGGAAUUACUGGGCGUAAAGAGCUCGUAGGUGGUUUGUCGCGUUGUUCGUGAAAACUCACGGCUUAACUGUGAGCGUGCGGGCGAUACGGGCAGACUGGAGUACUUAAGAGGAUCGCGGAAUUCCCGGUGUAGAGGUGAAAUUCGUAGAUAUCGGGAGGAACACCAGUGGCGAAGGCGGCGAUCUGGGAAGAUACUGACGCUGAGGUGCGAAAGCGUGGGGAGCAAACAGG
rnacentral:rRNA from 1 species